UCAGAUUUUCACCAAUUGUGGGUUCAGCCACUUUCUGCACCCACCAUGUUGAUCUUCCAGAAGGCUGUUGCUGGCCUCUGAAGGAUGUGGAGAGGCUUCCAGCAACCAACCACAGAGAAGAAAAGUUUGUAGGCUUUGCAGGUAGCUGAGUGCCUUAAAUUGUUCCCAGCUUUGCUGCUGUUACAGUGUGGAAGGGAAGAACCCGGAUGGGGCACCUCAUUGAACUGCAUGAGUGUGGCCGUUUAUCAAGGUCAUAUGGCUGCAGCAGCCGCUAUUUUGACUGUCAAUUAUCUGGUGCUGGGCUGGCAUAUCUCAUAUCUCAGCAGCUCUGGUGAGCGCCUCCUGUUGUGUCUUCUGCUGUCUUGGUGAGAUGGAUCCAGGUCACAGGCUCCAGGCCCUCCGUGGCAGGAAGAUACAGUCUUGGGAGCCUUUGUGUUUAGGACUAUGAAACACUGGACACUGCUUCAGGUGAGAACAAUAUUGUCACAUGAAUCAGACAUCUUAGUGAUUGAAAAGAAAUGAUGGGAUUGAACCUAAUUUUUGCGUAGUGUUCAUUAACUUCAUGAUGGUUCCCACCUUCCCUAAAAAAUUUCUCCAUAAGAAAUUCUUUUGAAAUCAGAGAUUUCACACUAAUUUAAAGAAGCAGAGGGCAAACAACAGAGGUGCAGGAAGCCUGACCAUAGCUACAGGGGUGUGGACUUCAACCCAGGAAUGGAAGCAGUCUUCCUGGAGACUUCAUGCUGGGCAUGUGUGCUUUGUAGCCGAGGGUCCAGGGCUGAUGAGCAGCUCUGAGAAAGUUUUGAUGCUUUUUUUGCUUCAGCCUCAUCCCCCAUGGACACCAGCAACUCCUAAGUCUAAGUGCAUGAAGUUAAGCUUCACAGUAAGUCCUCUCUGAAGACGGAGAUGCAACUCUAGCUGAAGUGGGCCACAGACUAAACAGAUUGCCUCGCACUUGAAUUCUACUGUCUUCAUACUUCUCUCUGUCUUCUUGCAGAAAGCAUUUCAACUCUUAUAAAACAAAGAAAUAGGGCCUCCCUGGUGGCACAGGGGUUAAAGACAGCACUAUGAAGCUAUUCACAGCCACUGCAGCACGAGGUGGCCAGCCAGGGAGCAACCCACAUUGCAUAGCAGACCUCUCCUAUCUCACCCACUGCUCCCCACAGCAGUGUAUUUCAGUAGAUCUGCCUGUUCUGCUCCCCACUCUCUCUGGUGAAUCCUCUCACCUACCCACCCCAUCCCCCAACCUCUGGCCUGUACCCCAGUUCGUAUAUGUACAAAUAAAUCUUUUAAAAAAUAAAUAAAACAA